rnacentral:ncRNA from 4 species
CCGCCGGGACGGCCCGGCUGGUUUUGCGACAGUAUGGGACGACCCAA